AGAAAAGGAAAUUCACAGAAGGAAUCAAUGAUUUUGGAAGAGCGAAACCGAAUCGACAAGAUCAUUUAUUAAAAGUCGGGACAAUCAUUUAUGACUUAUGAUCGAACUGCUCAGCGAACGCUCCCGGCCGGUGGUACUACCAAAAUCGAACGACUGCCGGUUGAACUGCCAAAAUCGGGUCUGGUUUAAAAUGGCUCCUAACAACAUCCAGCCGAAGUACAAGGAGCAUUCCUGUAACGUCCGCAGCAGUACGACCCCUGAGCCAACGAAAUCAAAGAGCUGAGUCGAAAGCUAGUGCAGAAACACAAGCAAAUCGGCUCAGAUUCUACUAAAAAGGUGUCCGUUCCAUGCAUUCUUCGUCUUCCAAUGUCCGACUUCGAGAACUAUGAAUGGCAUGGUCUAGAACCUGCUGUGGUACAAAUGCCUCGACGAAGAUUUCGAUUUAAGUCGUUUGCUGAGGAAACUUGUGACCGUUUUAAAAGACGCUAGCUGAUCCAUCGAUUCAGCAGGAUUUGUUGAAACUGGCUUGCCUACUGUACAGGGACCAUCCGGAGUGAUUGUCCGAAUCAAGGUAACGCAUCAUCUCAACCAUCAUUAUGGAAACGACACUUCAUUGCGUGAAUUGGAGGAUGAAACCCACAAGAAUCUGAAAAUUACAAUGGAUGAAAAGAAUUGGAUCAUUCGUGUAUACGCAGGUUCUCCACUAUAAAACGUUCGUAAUUAUGAAAAAAAUAUACAUAGAACUAGAAAGAAUAUUUUUGCAUAAGAUUUUCUUUAAUUAUCCCGUUA